UACGAGUGCUCCAAGCGUUAUCCGGAAUCACUGGGCGUAAAGGGUCCGUAGGCGGUCUUGUUAGUCUGAUGUUAAAGCCCGAGGCUUAACCUCGGAUCUGCAUCAGAAACGGCAAGACUAGAGGAUGUGAGAGGUUGUUGGAACUCAUAGUGUAGGGGUGAAAUCCGUUGAUCUUAUGGGGAACACCAAAUGCGAAGGCAAACAACUGGCACAUUCCUGACGCUGAGGGACGAAAGCGUGGGUCGCGAAUGGGAUUAGAAACCCCAGUGGUCC
rnacentral:rRNA from 1 species